CAAACUAACGAAUGGAUUUCCAAUGAUUUGUUAAUAAUCCAUUUCUAUAAAAGGGCACAUUCAUCAUUAGACACAUAGAAGUUGGAUAAACCCAACAACCUUCCAUCCAGAGUCAACAAAAUUGAAACCCGUUUUUGAGAGUUGUUGGUGCCUAAUCCUAUAACUGACGACAACGUUAGGAAAUCCGGAGACGUCGUCGGGGGCCUCGGGAAGAGUUAUCUUUUAUUUUUAACAUAUUUCCCACCCUGAAAUCAUCUCAACCGAAGAUAGAGUCCAAUAGCUGGAAGAGCAUCGCACGUCUUGUGAUGUCCGGUGAACCCUCAGUGGACCUUGAAAAUAUAGAGGACAAAGUAUCAUCCAUCCUUGGUCGUACUCAUAACCGCAUCAGGUCUCCAAGGUGAACAACCUUUG
rfam:Picea glauca, whole genome shotgun sequence.